rnacentral:rRNA from 1 species
GGCCUACGGGGGGCAGCAGUGAGGAAUAUUGGCCAAUGGGCGGAAGCCUGAACCAGCCAAGUCGCGUGAGGGAAUAAGGCCCUACGGGUCGUAAACCUCUUUUGCCGGGGAGCAAGGGCCGGGACGCGUCCCGGCCCGGAGAGUACCCGGAGAAAAAGCAUCGGCUAACUCCGUGCCAGCAGCCGCGGUAAUACGGAGGAUGCGAGCGUUAUCCGGAUUUAUUGGGUUUAAAGGGUGCGUAGGCGGGCUUUUAAGUCAGCGGUAAAAAUUCGGGGCUCAACCCCGUCCGGCCGUUGCAACUGGGG